GUUUACGGCCACACCGCCUGGUUCAUGCCCGAUCUUGGAAGCUAAGAUAGGUUGGGCCUGGUUAGUACUUGGAUGGGAGACCGCCUGGGAAUACCAGGUGCUGUAAGCU
rnacentral:rRNA from 1 species